rnacentral:rRNA from 1 species
AUUGAACGCUGGCGGCAGGCCUAACACAUGCAAGUCGAGCGGAUGAAGGGAGCCUGCUCCUGGAUUCAGCGGCGGACGGGUGAGUAAUGCCUAGGAAUCUGCCUGGCAGUGGGGGAUAACGUCCGGAAACGGGCGCUAAUACCGCAUACGUCCUGAGGGAGAAAGUGGGGGAUCUUCGGACCUCACGCUAUCAGAUGAGCCUAGGUCGGAUUAGCUAGUUGGUGGGGUAAAGGCCUACCAAGGCGACGAUCCGUAACUGGUCUGAGAGGAUGAUCAGUCACACGGGAACUGAGACACGGUCCAGACUCCUACGGGAGGCAGCAGUGGGGAAUAUUGGACAAUGGGCGAAAGCCUGAUCCAGCCAUGCCGCGUGUGUGAAGAAGGUCUUCGGAUUGUAAAGCACUUUAAGUUGGGAGGAAGGGCAGUAGGUUAAUACCUUGCUGUUUUGACGGUACCAACAGAAUAAGCACCGGCUAACUUCGUG